rnacentral:rRNA from 1 species
GAUGAACGCUAGCGGCAGGCUUAACACAUGCAAGUCGAGGGGCAGCACGAGUAGCAAUACUUGGUGGCGACCGGCGCAAGGGUGCGUAACGCGUGAGCAACAUGCCCGUAUCAGGGGGAUAAUCCAGGGAAACUUGGUCUAAUACCCCAUAGUAAUCAUAUCAGGCAUCUGGUAUGAUUUAAAGCUUAGGUGGAUACGGAUUGGCUCGCGUGACAUUAGCUAGAUGGUAAGGUAACGGCUUACCAUGGCUAUGAUGUCUAGGGGUUCUGAGAGGAAGGUCCCCCACACUGGUACUGAGACACGGUCCAGACUCCUACGGGAGGCAGCAGUGGGGAAUAUUGCACAAUGGGCGAAAGCCUGAUGCAGCAACGCCGCGUGAGCGAUGAAGGCCUUCGGGUCGUAAGCUCUGUCCUAUGGGAAGAUAAUGACGGUACCAUAGGAGGA